rnacentral:rRNA from 1 species
AGCAGUAGCCGCGGGAAUACGGAGGGGGCUAGCGUUAAUCGGAAUUACUGGGCGUAAAGCGUGCGUAGGCGGUUCGUUAAGUCUGUUGUGAAAGCCCCGGGCUCAACCUGGGAAUGGCAAUGGAUACUGGCGAGCUAGAGUGUGUCAGAGGAUGGUGGAAUUCCCGGUGUAGCGGUGAAAUGCGUAGAUAUCGGAAGGAACACCUGUGGCGAAAGCGGCUCACUGGACCAUUUCUGACGCUGAGACGCGAAAGCGUGGGGAGCAAACAGGAUUAGAUACCCGAGUAGUCCCUGUCUCUUAUAC